UACGUAGGGGGCACGCGUUGUCCGGAAUCAUUGGGCGUAAAGAGCGUGUAGGCGGCCCGGUAAGUCCGCUGUGAAAGUCGAGGGCUCAACCCUCGAAUGCCGGCGGAUACUGUCGGGCUAGAGUCCGGAAGAGGCGAGUGGAAUUCCUGGUGUAGCGGUGAAAUGCGCAGAUAUCAGGAGGAACACCUACGGCGAAGGCAGCUCGCUGGGACGGUACUGACGCUGAGACGCGAAAGCGUGGGGAGCAAACAGG
rnacentral:rRNA from 1 species